CUGGCACGUGUGCUCUUUUGCCAUGUGAUGCCCUUCAUCAUAUCCUGAUUGGUAUUCCCAGCCUCCAGAACUAAAAAAAUCAUGAGCUCCUGAAGGACCUGGAUCACAGAGCAUGUCAUUUGUGUGGCACUGGUGACUUGGGGACAAGACCACUGAUUUUGAAGCUCCAGGUGGAGCUGGAGUCAGGCUGAUUGCGGAGGAUGCACCUUUCUGACUCUAAGAAGAUGAACCUCACCUGUAUAAUGUCACCUGGAUUCUUCUGCUGUCUGGCUGCAUUCUGAGUGACUCAGCCAGCUCUGUCCCUUCCUUCCAGCCUGGCUGCAUUCUCACACACAGCUCCGGUGGACUGCAAGCCAGCUGUGUCCACGGGUAGCUGGUAUACAUGGAGAGGGCUGAGCACCAUGAGGUUGUAAAGAAUAAAGACCAGGAAGAAGAUAGAGGCUGCGAGACAGGUCAUUCCAUCUGGACUGGACUGAAUUAUUGUUCCUGAAUCUUCACCCCUUCCUGGAUUUGUACUGCUGGCCAUGUAACUUUGAAGCUUCCACACUCUCACUAACAUGCAGCGAACUUCCCCAGCUUACAUUUGGGCAAGGUUCUUGAUCUACUGUGGCCUGAGAUUUACAGGUGGAAUUAACAGCAUAUCUGAGGCGAGCUCUUCAAAGAAUCCUGCAUUUCUGCUCAAUCGUGCCGUGAACUGUUCUCCUCUCCGAUGUCCUCUGCCAAGCCACUCCGCUUUGGACCCAGUGAAUUUUGGACUGAAACCUCUACAAACUAGCUUUGACUACAUCCCUGUGAUUUCUGAGCAACUGAGAUGAAAACAGCUGAGAUGAGGGGUUAAAAGCUUUGCCCUUUGCCUGGAAUUAGAGUUGUGGGCAGUGGCCCUGGCUGGGCUGGCAGAGGAGAUGUGAUAUUCGGGUCUUGGCUGUCGUCACAGCAGCUGGGGACCAGCAAGUCAUCCAUGUGCCCUUUCUCGGUGACAACUGGGAAGCACAUCCACAUGGAAAGGACAGGCCUACCACUCAAAGGCCCCCUGAAAAACUUCUACCUGUGAAGAUAAGGAAGACUACUGCGCAGCCCAGGACAGCAUGUGGCUAAAAAUCCACAACUGAGUUCUGAGGAAGGAUUAGCUAUGCAUCUGUAACUGGAGGGAACUAAUGUGUGUAAAUCAGUCAAAAUUUGAGCUUGAAACCUAUAGAUUCAUGGAUGAGAAGUGAAUGACUUAACCAGAAGUAGAAAUGGAGAUUGAGGUUGGGGCAUUGUAGGCAAGACUUGGAUAGAUGAUUCUUUGUGCAAAUGUCUGGACUGGUGAUGUUUGGCAGUAGGGAGGGCAGGCAGGAGGCAGCAGGUGGCCACUCCCAAAAAAGUGCGAGCUCAGGGAAGGGAAGUCUAGCAUGACAGUCCUGGGCCAGGCAUGGUGACAGGAAUCAGGUGGAAUGCAGUUGUGCGUUAUGGAGAAAAGGUAGGGCUUAAAAGAGCAUAAGCAGAGCCUUGUUUCGGAGCAGUAGAAGGUUCAAGGUUGGAGUAAGGGCCUAAGAGCAAGGUUAUCAAAGAUCUCUGAGACUAUGACUAUGGGAUCCUCACAGUUACCUCUCUGAGGGUAAUACUAAUUCCUUGUU